UGAAAUAUUAGUUCUGGUUGCUAGUGCAGAUCUGGACUCGGAUCAAGGGUGUCGAGAGGGUCCCGCGUCCUGUUCCUUUGCCUUUCAAAAAGACUUUUUACGGAUUGAGAAUUUUUAAAUACCACUAGGGGAAAGGUGAAGGUUCUUUGCAGUCUUCAGUGUUGAAAUGGACGAAGGUAAGGAAGACAAAUCAUUUUAAGACGAAAUCUCCGAUUUUUUAAAAAAGGAGGAAAAAAGGGUGGCUAAGGAUAAAGAAAGAGGACUUGAGAAAACGUGGAGAAUGAAAAACAGGAGAACAGCGAGCAAAAGCAAAGAUCCAGAGUUCAAAGAGCCUGGCAGAAGGAAACAGCUGCGGGCUGAGUGCUGACGAGGGGAGGGACUGACGGCGGCCGGCCGGUAGGAGCGCGGAGCUGCGCUGCGGCGGCCCAGGAGCUGCUGCGGUUCCCGCUGCUCGGGGAGCAGGCGGUGUGUGCGCGGCUGCGAAGGCGAGGUUGAAACUGCACCGCCAAGGCGCGCUCCUGCUGUGUCUGGAGGCUGCUCGCAGCCUCGCCAGAGUGAGAAUCUACUGUAAGUGUGAGUUGCUUCGACGAAGUCACACACCCACGGAGGGAAGUAAUCUGGAGGCUGCCUUGGAAGUCUGAAAGCAGGUUCUUUUUAUUAUAAUGUGCUCCAAAUGGAUAAAGCAAAUUUAGAGGAAGAGCAAUGAAUCAGUUUCUCAGUUUGGCAAAAAGCCUCACGGGGCAUGUACAGGAAGCCUUCCUGCAGACAUCCACAGUGAACAAGUCUAAGGACAAUAGCUUUCGUUGGCCCCCAAUGGAAGGAAGAUUUAAAACCAAUGGUUAUUUUACUGGAAUAGGUUUAAUUACUGGUAUUCUUGAAUGCAAUCAACAGUAAUUCUGUGUUGUGUUUUCUAGAUUAGAAGAAUUGCUGCUACCUAAUGCAUCGUGUGUUUGAGAAUAGACUUCUUUGUCAAAGUACAUCUUCUGGCUGCUUUUGACUCAUAGCUUGGUUAAGAUGAGGUUAUCUAAGGUGUUCAUCA
rnacentral:lncRNA from 1 species